AUUGAACGCUGGCGGCAGGCCUAACACAUGCAAGUCGAGCGAGCGGCGGACGGGUGAGUAAUGUAUGGGGACUGCCCGAUAGCGGGGGAUAACUACUGGAAACGGUGGCUAAUACCGCAUACUAUCGGAUAACCCAUAUGGGAUUAGCUAGUAGGUGGGGUAAAGGCUCACCUAGGCGACGAUCUCUAGCUGGCCUGAGAGGAUGAUCAGCCACACUGGGACUGAGACACGGCCCAGACGACUACGGAGGCAGCAGUGGGGAAUAUUGCACAAUGGGCGCAAGCAGGAUGCAGCCAUGCCGCGUGUAUGAGGAAGGCCUUAGGGUUGUAAAGUACUUUCGGCGGGGAGGCGUUACCCGCAGAAGAAGCACCGGCUAACUCCGUGCCAGCAGCCGCGGUAAUAC
rnacentral:rRNA from 1 species